ensembl:miRNA gga-mir-12254 gga-mir-12254
UAUGGGGGCACAGAAGGGUCAUUGGGGUACAGCAGGGUCCCAAACAUCCUCUCCUGCCCCCAGU